GAUCCUGGCUCAGGAAAAACGCUGGCGGCGCGCCUAACACAUGCAAGUCGAACGAGCGAGAGAGAGCUUGCUUUCUCGAGCGAGUGGCGAACGGGUGAGUAACGCGUGAGGAACUUGCCUCAAAGAGGGGGACAACAGUUGGAAACGACUGCUAAUACCGCAUAAGCCCACGGCUCGGCAUCGAGCAGAGGGAAAAGGAGCAAUCCGCUUUGAGAUGGCCUCGCGUCCGAUUAG
rnacentral:rRNA from 1 species